GACGAACGCUGGCGGCGUGCUUAACACAUGCAAGUCGAACGGUGAAGGGGCCUGCUUUUGUGGGCCCUGGAUGAGUGGCGAACGGGUGAGUCACACGUGAGUAACCUGCCCCCUUCUUCUGGAUAACCGCAUGAAAGUGUGGCUAAUACGGGAUAUUCUGGGUCUGUCGCAUGAUGGGUCUGGGAAAGAUUGCGCCUUUGGGUGUUUUUGGUGGGGGAUGGGCUCGCGGCCUAUCAGCUUGUUGGUGGGGUGAUGGCCUACCAAGGCGGUGACGGGUAGCCGGCCUGAGAGGGUGGACGGUCACACUGGGACUGAGACACGGCCCAGACUCCUACGGGAGGCAGCAGUGGGGAAUAUUGCACAAUGGGCGCAAGCCUGAUGCAGCGACGCCGCGUGAGGGAGGGAGGCCUUCGGGUUGUAAACCUCUUUCGCAAGUGAAGCAGGCCUGCUCCUUGUGGGUGGGUUGACGGUAGCUGGAUAAGAAGCGCCGGCUAACUACGUG
rnacentral:rRNA from 1 species